ACUUUCAACAACAGAUCUCUUGGUUCUGGCAUUGAUGAAGAACACAGCGAAAUGCGAUAAGUAAUGUGAAUUGCAGAAUCUAUGAGUCAUCAAAUCUUUGAAUGCACAUUGUGCCCUUUGGCAUUCUGAAGGGCAUGCCUGUUUGAGUGUCAUUAUCACCUCUCAAGCCUGGCUUGCAGUUGGACUCGUGGUAAGGCCCUUGCCUAGCUGGUCUUAAAGAUAAUGACAGUGUCUGUGAAUGACCCUAGUACACUGAGCUCUUGUGGCAUGUACUUAGUGGGAGUUGCAGGCUGGUCUAGCCUCUAGUUUUAUCUAAGGUUGACCUUGGAUUAGGUAGGGAUACCCGCUGAACUUAAGUAUAUCAAUAAGUGGAGGAAAAGAAACUAACAGGGAUUGCCUCAGUAACAGUGAGUGAAGUGGCAACAGCUCAAAUUUGAAAUCUGGCUCUUGGAUCCGAGUUGUAAUUUGUAGAGGAUGUUUUGGGUACCACCGCGGUUUAAAUUUCUUGGAACAGAAUGUCAGAGAGGGUGAGAGUCCUAUCUAGAACUGUAGUAGGGCCUGGGUAAAACUCCUUUGAUGAGUUAAGUUGUUUAGGAAUGCAGCUCAAAAUGGGUGGUAAAUUUCAUCUAAAGCUAAAUAUUGGCUAGAGACUGAUAGUGCAUAAGUAGAGUGAUUGAAAGAUGAAAAGCACUUUGAAAAGAGAGUUAAAUAGUAUGUGAAAUUGUUGAAAGGGAAGUGCUUGCAACCAGACUUGUAUGUGGCGGUUCCCCCUUGCUUCUGCUUGGGCUACUCUAUCAUAUCUAGGCCAACAUCAGUUCUAGGGGUUGGUUAAAGGCCCUGGGAAUGUAUCUACCCCCGGGUAGACUUAUAGCCCAGGGUGUUAUGUAGCCUCCUGGGACUAAGGAACACGCUUUGGUGAGGAUAUUGGUGUAAUGGUUGUCAGUGACCUAUCUUGAAACAUGGACCAAGGAGUCUAACAUCUAUGUGAGUGUUUGGGUGUCAAACCUAUACGCGAAAUGAAAGUGAAUGGAGGUAGGAAGCCCUUAGGCUGUACUAUUGACUGAUCCUGAUAUUUAUGGAUGGAUUUAAGUAAGAGUAUAGCUGUUGGGACCCGAAAGAUGGUGAACUAUGCCUGAAUAGGGUGAAGCCAGAGGAAACUCUGGUGGAGGCUUGCAGUGGUUCUGAUGUGUAAAUUGAUUAUCAAAUUUGGGUAUAGGGGCGAAAGACUAAUUGAAUCAUCUGGUAGCUGGUUCCUGCUGAAGUUUCCCUCAGGAUAGUAGUAAUGUUUUCAGUUUUAUGAGGUAAAGUGAAUGAUUAGAGGCCUUGGGGUUAAAACAACCUUAACCUAUUCUCAAACUUUAAAUAUGUAAGAAGCCCUUGUUACUUAAUUGAAUGUGGGUAUUUGAAUGUAUUGUUACUAGUGGGCCAUUUUUGGUAAGCAGAACUGGUGAUGUGGGAUAAACUGAACGAGAGGUUAAGGUGCUGGAGUGCACGCUUAUCAGACACCACAAAAGGUGUCAAUGUAUCUAGAUAGCUAGAUAGUGGCCAUGGAAGUUAGAAUCCACUUAGGAGUGUGUAACAACUCACUGGCUGAAUGUAUUAGCCCUGAAAAUGGAUGGUACUUAAGUGUGUCACCUAUACCUCUCUGUAGCUGUUUACUGGAAGUGGCUAUGAGUAGGUAGGUGUAGAGGUGUAUAACAAAGCCUUGGGGGUGACCCUGGGUUAAACUAUCUCUAGUAUAGAUCUUGGUGGUAGUAGCAAAUACUCAAAUGAGAACUUUGAGGAUUGAAGUGGGGAAAGGUUCCAUGUGAACAGCAGUUGGACAUGGAUGAGUUGAUCCUAAGCCAUAGGGAAGAUCUGUUAGAAAGUGUGCACUUAUGCACUGUAUGGCGAAAGGGAAGCUAGUUAAUAUUCUGGCACCUGGAUACAGUGUCUUCAUGGCAAUGUAACUGAAAGUGGAGAUGUUGGUGGGGGCCCUGGGAAGAGUUAUCUUUUCUUCUUAAUAGUCUAUCACCCUGAAAUCAGUUUGUCUGGAGCUAGGGUUUAAUGGCUGGCAGAGUACAUCACCUCUGAUGUGUCUGGUGUGCUCCUGACAACCCUUGAAAAUCCACUGGAAGGAAUAAGAUUUAUGCCAGGUUGUACUCAUAACUGCAGCAGGUCUCCAAGGUGAAAAGCCUCUAGUUGAUAGAACAAUGUAGAUAAGGGAAGUUGGCAAAAUAGAUCUAUAACUUCAGGAAAAGGAUUGGCUCUAAGAACUAGGUGCAUUGGGCCUUAGAAAGAUCCCGCUGGAGUAGGGAGUCACUAGCUGGGCAACCGGCCGGCGGCACCCAGCACUGGUGUGGUGAUGUCCUUGGCAGGCUUUGGUUGUCUAGCGCACAAUUAAUAGUCAACUUAGAACUGGUAUAGACAAGGGGAAUCUGACUGUCUAAUUAAAACAUAGCAUUGUGAUGGCCAGAAAGUGGUGUUGAUGCAAUGUGAUUUCUGCCUAGUGCUCUGAAUGUCAAAGUGAAGAAAUUCAACCAAGUGUGGGUAAACAGCGGGAGUAACUAUGACUCUCUUAAGGUAGCCAAAUGCCUUGUUAUCUAAUUAGUGACGCGCAUGAAUGGAUUAACGAGAUUCCUACUGUCCCUAUCUACUAUCUAGCGAAACCACAGCCAAGGGAACAGGCUUGGCAGAAUCAGCGGGGAAAGAAGACCCUGUUGAGCUUGACUCUAGUUUGACAUUGUGAAAAGACAUAGGGGGUGUAGAAUAGGUGG
rnacentral:rRNA from 1 species